GACGAACGCUGGCGGCGUGCCUAAUACAUGCCAGUUGAGCGAUGAAGCUUGGUGCUUGCCCCAAUUUGAAGAGCAGCGAACGGGUGAGUAACGCGUGGGGAAUCUGCCUUUGAGCGGGGGACAACAUUUGGAAACGAAUGCUAAUACCGCAUAACAACUUUAAACAUAAGUUUUAAGUUUGAAAGAUGCAAUUGCAUCACUCAAAGAUGAUCCCGCGUUGUAUUAGCUAGUUGGUGAGGUAAAGGCUCACCAAGGCGAUGAUACAUAGCCGACCUGAGAGGGUGAUCGGCCACAUUGGGACUGAGACACGGCCCAAACUCCUACGGGAGGCAGCAGUAGGGAAUCUUCGGCAAUGGACGAAAGUCUGGCCGAGCAACGCCGCGUGAGUGAAGAAGGGUUUCGGAUCGUAAAACUCGGUUGGUAGAGAAGAACGUUGGUGAGAGUGGAAAGCUCAUCAAGUGACGGUAACUACCCAGAAAGGGACGGCUAACUACGUG
rnacentral:rRNA from 1 species